UACGGAGGGUGCGAGCGUUUAUCGGAAUUACUGGGCGUAAAGCGCGCGUAGGCGGCUUGUUAAGUCGGAUGUGAAAUCCCCGGGCUCAACCUGGGAAUUGCAUCCGAUACUGGCGAGCUGGAGUGCGAUAGAGGGGGGUAGAAUUCCUAGUGUAGCGGUGAAAUGCGUAGAUAUUAGGAGGAAUACCGGUGGCGAAGGCGGCCCCCUGGAUCGACACUGACGCUGAGGUGCGAAAGCGUGGGUAGCAAACAGG
rnacentral:rRNA from 2 species